CACGCUGGUUCUGUUUCUCUUCACUUUCUUUAGUGGCUACAGUGGACAGUCACUUUUCGAAGAC
rnacentral:tRNA from 1 species